rnacentral:rRNA from 1 species
GACGAACGCUGGCGGCGUGCUUAACACAUGCAAGUCGAACGGAAAGGCCCUGCUUUUGUGGGGUGCUCGAGUGGCGAACGGGUGAGUAACACGUGAGUAACCUGCCCUUGACUUUGGGAUAACUUCAGGAAACUGGGGCUAAUACCGGAUAGGAGCUCCUGCUGCAUGGUGGGGGUUGGAAAGUUUCGGCGGUUGGGGAUGGACUCGCGGCUUAUCAGCUUGUUGGUGGGGUAGUGGCUUACCAAGGCUUUGACGGGUAGCCGGCCUGAGAGGGUGACCGGCCACAUUGGGACUGAGAUACGGCCCAGACUCCUACGGGAGGCAGCAGUGGGGAAUAUUGCACAAUGGGCGGAAGCCUGAUGCAGCAACGCCGCGUGCGGGAUGACGGCCUUCGGGUUGUAAACCGCUUUCGCCUGUGACGAAGCGUGAGUGACGGUAAUGGGUAAAGAAGCACCGGCUAACUACGUGCCAGCAGCCGCGGUGAUACGUAGGGUGCGAGCGUUGUCCGGAUUUAUUGGGCGUAAAGGGCUCGUAGGUGGUUGAUCGCGUCGGAAGUGUAAUCUUGGGGCUUAACCCUGAGCGUGCUUUCGAUACGGGUUGACUUGAGGAAGGUAGGGGAGAAUGGAAUUCCUGGUGGAGCGGUGGAAUGCGCAGAUAUCAGGAGGAACACCAGUGGCGAAGGCGGUUCUCUGGGCCUUUCCUGACGCUGAGGAGCGAAAGCGUGGGGAGCGAACAGGCUUAGAUACCCUGGUAGUCCACGCUGUAAACGGUGGGUACUAGGUGUGGGGUCCAUUCCACGGGUUCCGUGCCGUAGCUAACGCUUUAAGUACCCCGCCUGGGGAGUACGGCCGCAAGGCUAAAACUCAAAGGAAUUGACGGGGCCCCGCACAAGCGGCGGAGCAUGCGGAUUAAUUCGAUGCAACGCGUAGAACCUUACCUGGGUUUGACAUGGAUCGGGAGCGCUCAGAGAUGGGUGUGCCUCUUUUGGGGUCGGUUCACAGGUGGUGCAUGGCUGUCGUCAGCUCGUGUCGUGAGAUGUUGGGUUAAGUCCCGCAACGAGCGCAACCCUUGUUCACUGUUGCCAGCACGUUAUGGUGGGGACUCAGUGGAGACCGCCGGGGUCAACUCGGAGGAAGAUGGGGAUGACGUCAAGUCAUCAUGCCCCUUAUGUCCAGGGCUUCACGCAUGCUACAAUGGCUGGUACAGAGAGUGGCGAGCCUGUGAGGGUGAGCGAAUCUCGGAAAGCCGGUCUCAGUUCGGAUUGGGGUCUGCAACUCGACCUCAUGAAGUCGGAGUCGCUAGUAAUCGCAGAUCAGCAACGCUGCGGUGAAUACGUUCCUGGGGCU